AUAUCAAUAAGCGGAGGAAAAGAAACCAACAGGGAUUACCCUAGUAACGGCGAGUGAAGCGGUAAUAGCUCAAAUUUGAAAUCUGACCUUCACGGGUCCGAGUUGUAAUUUGUAGAGGAUGUUUCGAACAAGACUUUGGUUUAAGUUUCUUGGAACAGAACGUCAUAGAGGGUGAGAGUCCCGUCUAGAACCGGUAGUCGCGUCCAUGUGAACUUCCUUCGACGAGUCGAGUUGUUUGGGAAUGCAGCUCAAAAUGGGUGGUAAAUUUCAUCUAAAGCUAAAUAUUGGCCAGAGACCGAUAGCGCACAAGUAGAGUGAUCGAAAGAUGAAAAGCACUUUGAAAAGAGAGUUAAACAGUAC
rnacentral:rRNA from 1 species